rnacentral:rRNA from 1 species
CGAACGCUGGCGGCGUGCCUAAUACAUGCAAGUAGAACGCUGAAGAGAGGAGCUUACUCUUCUUGGAUGAGUUGCGAACGGGUGAGUAACGCGUAGGUAACCUGCCUUGUAGCGGGGGAUAACUAUUGGAAACGAUAGCUAAUACCGCAUAACAAUGGAUGACACAUGUCAUUUAUUUGAAAGGGGCAAUUGCUCCACUACAAGAUGGACCUGCGUUGUAUUAGCUAGUAGGUGAGGUAAUGGCUCACCUAGGCGACGAUACAUAGCCGACCUGAGAGGGUGAUCGGCCACACUGGGACUGAGACACGGCCCAGACUCCUACGGGAGGCAGCAGUAGGGAAUCUUCGGCAAUGGGGGCAACCCUGACCGAGCAACGCCGCGUGAGUGAAGAAGGUUUUCGGAUCGUAAAGCUCUGUUGUAAGUCAAGAACGGGUGUGAGAGUGGAAAGUUCACACUGUGACGGUAGCUUACCAGAAAGGGACGGCUAACUACGUG